AUUGAACGCUGGCGGCAGGCCUCACACAUGCAAGUCGAGCGAGCGGCGGACGGGUGAGUAAUGUAUGGGGACUGCCCGAUAGAGUGGGAUAACUACUGGAAACGGUUGCUAAUACCGCAUACUAUCGGAUAACCCAUAUGGGAUUAGCUAGUAGGUAAGGUAAUGGCCUACCUAGGCGACGAUCCCUAACUGGUCUGAUAGGAUGAUCAGCCACACUGGGACUGAGAAACGGCCCAGAAUCCUACGGAGGCAGCAGUGGGGAAUAUUGCACAAUGGGCGCAAGCCUGAUGCAGCCAUGCCGCGUGUAUGAAGAAGGCACUAGGGUUGUAAAGUACUUUCAGUCGGGAGGCGUUACCGACAGAAGAAGCACCGGCUAACUCCGUGCCAGCAGCCGCGGUAAUAC
rnacentral:rRNA from 1 species